rnacentral:rRNA from 1 species
CCUACGGGUGACAGCAGUAGGGAAUAUUGCUCAAUGGGGGAAACCCUGAAGCAGCAACGCCGCGUGGAGGAUGAAGGUUUUCGGAUUGUAAACUCCUUUUGUUAGAGAAGAUAAUGACGGUAUCUAACGAAUAAGCACCGGCUAACUCCGUGCCAGCAGCCGCGGUAAUACGGAGGGUGCAAGCGUUACUCGGAAUCACUGGGCGUAAAGGGCGAGUAGGCGGGAUAGCAAGUCAGAUGUGAAAUCCUAUGGCUUAACCAUAGAACUGCAUUUGAAACUGUUAUUAUAGAGUAUGGGAGAGGUAGGUGGAAUUCUUGGUGUAGGGGUAAAAUCCGUAGAGAUCAAGAGGAAUACUCAUUGCGAAGGCGACCUGCUAGAACAUAACUGACGCUGAUGCGCGAAAGCGUGGGGAGCAAACAGGAUUAGAUACCCCUGUAGUC